UACGUAGGGUCCAAGCGUUAUCCGGAAUCACUGGGCGUAAAGCGUGCGUAGGUGGAUUGUUAAGUGCGAUGCGAAAUCCUGUGGCUCAACCAUAUGGACUGUAUCGCAUACUGGCUAUCUAGAGGACAUGAGAGGCAAGUGGAAUUCCUGGUGUAGCGGUGAAAUGCGCAGAUAUCAGGAGGAACACCGAUGGCGAAGGCAGGUCGCUGGGACGUUACUGACGCUGAGACGCGAAAGCGUGGGGAGCAAACAGG
rnacentral:rRNA from 1 species